GCAUGUUGUGUUAGUAUUUAUGUUGCUGCAGCGAAAAUAUGAGUUUAAAAAGUGAUUUCCAUGCGCUGAUGGAUGAUGCUGUAACAUGAUUUGUAUGCUGGGGCGAAAGGACAACGGUGGAUUGGAGGCAGAAAAACAGUCGCUCGCCAUUCCAGUUCGCUCAGUCACCGGUGAAAGAUGAGCAACGAGAAGGCAGGGCGGGGGAUGGAGUGAUGAAAACGUUGGCUGAGAGAUAAGAAGAGUGAAAGGGAAGAGAGACCUGCUUGGUAUUCACCUGUCUCUCUGGAUCAAUAAAGGUAAUUUGGGCUGAUUCCUCCCCGUAGGCCUCUUAGCAGACAGAAGGGGAGAGGGGUCAGCCACUGCUGAGCUGCGGGGAGCUGGAAUAACU